CCCUUAGAUGUCCUGGGCCGCACGCGCACUACACUGAACGGAUCAGCGCGUUUUCCCUUCCCGAGAGGGACGGGUAACCUGCUGAACCCCGUUCGUGGUAGGGAUCGGGGCUUGCAAUUAUUCCCCGUGAACCAGGAAUGCCCAGUAAGUGCAAGUCAUAAGCUUGCGUUGAUUACGUCCCUGCCCUUUGUACACACCGCCCGUCGCUACUACCGAUUGAACGUUUUAGUGAGGUACUCGGACUGAGCCUCAGAAGAUUCACGUCUUUUGUGCUGCUCGGGAAGAUUCCCAAACUUGAGCGUUUAGAGGAAGUAAAAGUCGUAACA
rnacentral:rRNA from 1 species